rnacentral:rRNA from 1 species
AUUGAACGCUGGCGGCAUGCUUUACACAUGCAAGUCGAACGGUAACAGGGAGCUUGCUCCGCUGACGAGUGGCGAACGGGUGAGUAAUGCGUCGGAACGUGCCGAGUAGUGGGGGAUAACGCAUCGAAAGGUGUGCUAAUACCGCAUACGUACUGAGGUAGAAAGUGGGGGACCUUCGGGCCUCACGCUAUUCGAGCGGCCGACGUCUGGUUAGCUAGUUGGUGAGGUAAAGGCUCACCAAGGCGACGAUCAGUAGCGGGGCUGAGAGGGUGAUCCGCCACACUGGGAAUGAGACACGGACCAGACUCCGACGGGAGGCAGCAGUGGGGAAUUUUGGACAAUGGGCGCAAGCCUGAUCCAGCCAUGCCGCGUGUCUGAAGAAGGCCUUCGGGUUGUAAAGGACUUUUGUCCGGGAGCAAAUGCUGGUGGCUAACAUCCACCGGAGCUGAGAGUACCGGAAGAAUAAGCACCGGCUAACUACGUGCCAGCCGCCGCGGUAAUAC